rnacentral:lncRNA from 1 species
UUUUACAUCAAAUGAAAAUAUCUCAUUGAUCAUAAAUUUUCCAUUACAAUCUGAUAUUUGAGAGUCACUACCCACAUACAGGCGGCAAGGAAGAAGUAUCCUCAAUCUUCUAACAACUGUUCUCGAUCAGACUCAUCACGUCCUAUUUUAAAAUAACUCAGAAACAAGCACUGUAAACAAAAGAAAGCAAAAACCUACCCUGACAAAAUGCAAAUAAAUUAAAAAAGUUUCGAUGCAAAAAAACUAACAAAGAAGGCAAACACAACAGGGGUAGCCUAGCCAUAAUUUCUUGUGUUGAUGGAGCGGUCAGGAGUACCAUCCACAACUUAAGGAUCACUCCCGAUGGCGGGCUGCCAACGGCAGACCCACCAAAAAUUCGAAACCAAGAGGCGAUUUUUGAGAUUAUACUAUCGGUCUUGAAGAUGCUGCCGAUGGAACAACCUUUCCGUUGCUCUGAAGUAUACGCUCCAUCCAUGGCGGGUCGCUCAUCGGAUUUCCCCGCAACGGCUUCUCGUCGAGGCUAGCCGCACUCAUCGAUAGUUGGCACGUUCGUCCCACGGACUUGAAUUAUUUUGAAUAGUGGUAUGAUGUUGCUCUUAAAGAAGAAAGAUAUUUUUUGUGUGGUUGAAAGAAGCGGUAGCUAGGGCUUGGGUACAUCGACCGAUCAGUGUUAUGACUCUGACUCCUCCA